rnacentral:rRNA from 1 species
AGGUAGGCGAGACGAGAGGUCUAAGGCGCUCGGGAGAACACUGGUUAAGGAACUCUGCAAAAUGACCCCGUAAGUUCGCGACAAGGGGUGCCCCUGAUGGUUUACGCUUUUGGGGGCCACAGUAAAUCGGCUUCUGCGACUGUUUAUCAAAAACACAGGACUCUGCUAACUCGCAAGAGGAUGUAUAGAGUCUGACGCCUGCCCGGUGCCGGUAGGUUAAGGAAGAGAGUCAGCUCGCAAGAGCGAAGCUCGCAACCGAAGCCCCGGUAAACGGCGGCCGUAACUAUGACGGUCCUAAGGUAGCGAAGUUCCUUGUCGGGCAAGUUCCGACCUGCAUGAAUGGCGUAACGACAGAAGCACUGUCUCGACCAGUGACCCGGUGAAAUUGUAGUCGUGGUGAAGAUGCCACGUUCCCGCAGCAAGACGGAAAGACCCCGUGAACCUUUACUGCAGGCUGAUAUUGGGCUGUGGUGUAUCCUGUGUAGGAUAGGUGGGAGGCGUUGAAGCCGGGACGCUAGUUCCGGUCGAGCCAACCUUGAAAUACCACCCUGGGUAGACUUUAGUUCUAACUCCGAUUCCCGUGAUCCGGGCGGGGGACAAUGUCAGUUGGGCAGUUUGACUGGGGCGGUCUCCUCCCAAAAUGUAACGGAGGAGUCCCAAGGUACCCUCAACCUGGUUGGCAAUCAGGUGUCGAGCGCAAAGGUAGAAGGGUGCUUGACUGCGAGACCGAUAGGUCGAGCAGAUGCGAAAGCAGGGCUUAGUGAUCCGGUGGUCCCGUAUGGAAGGGCCAUCGCUCAUCAGACAAAAGGUACUCCGGGGAUAACAGGCUUAUCGCGCCCGAGCGUCCAUAGCGGCGGCGCGGUUUGGCACCUCGAUGUCGGCUCAUCACAUCCUGGGGGUGGAGAAGCUCCCAAGGGUUCGGCUGUUCGCCGAUGAAAGUGGUACGUGAGCUGGGUUCAGACCGUCGUGAGACAGGUCGGUCCCUAUCUGCUGUGGGCGCACGAGACCUGAGGAGGUUCUUCUUUAGUACGAGAGGAUUUAGAAGGACGUACCUCUGGUGUUCCAGUUGUCGCGCUCGCGGCACGGCUGGAUAGCUAUGUACGGAAAGGAUAAACGCUGAAAGCAUCUAAGCGUGAAGCCCUCUCCAAGAUGAGGUCUCGUAAGGGCGUAAGCUCGAAAGCCCCCUGGAAGACGACCAGGUCGAUAGGCCGGAUGUGUACGCGCAGCAAUGCGCUUAGCUAACCGGUACUAACGGGCGAAUGCUUGGCCAC